rnacentral:rRNA from 1 species
CCUACGGGUGGCAGCAGUGGGGAAUAUUGGACAAUGGGGGGAACCCUGAUCCAGCCAUGCCGCGUGUGUGAAGAAGGCCCUCGGGUUGUAAAGCACUUUCAGUGAGGAAGAACGCCUGGUGGUUAAUACCCAUCAGGAAAGACAUCACUCACAGAAGAAGCACCGGCUAACUCCGUGCCAGCAGCCGCGGUAAUACGGAGGGUGCGAGCGUUAAUCGGAAUUACUGGGCGUAAAGCGCGCGUAGGUGGCUUGAUAAGCCGGUUGUGAAAGCCCCGGGCUCAACCUGGGAACGGCAUCCGGAACUGUCAAGCUAGAGUGCAGGAGAGGAAGGUAGAAUUCCCGGUGUAGCGGUGAAAUGCGUAGAGAUCGGGAGGAAUACCAGUGGCGAAGGCGGCCUUCUGGACGGACACUGACACUGAGGUGCGAAAGCGUGGGUAGCAAACAGGAUUAGAUACCCUUGUAGU